UACAGAGGUGGCAAGCGUUGUUCGGAAUUACUGGGCGUAAAGGGCGCGUAGGCGGUUCGUUAAGUCCUGUGUGAAAUCCCCCGGCUCAACUGGGGAACUGCACUGGAAACUAGCGGGCUUGAGUUCGGGAGAGGGAAGCGGAAUUCCGGGUGUAGCGGUGAAAUGCGUAGAUAUCCGGAGGAACACCGGUGGCGAAGGCGGCUUCCUGGACCGACACUGACGCUGAGGCGCGAAAGCUAGGGGAGCAAACGGG
rnacentral:rRNA from 1 species